rnacentral:rRNA from 1 species
AUUGAACGCUGGCGGCAGGCCUAACACAUGCACGUCGAGCGAGCGGCGGACGGGUGAGUAAUGUAUGGGGACUGCCCGAUAGAGAGGGAUAACUACUGGAAACGGUGGAUAAUACCGCAUACUGUCGGAUAGCACAUAUGGGAUUAGCUAGUAGGUAAGGUAAUGGCUUAACUAGGCGACGAACACUAGCUGGUCUGAGAGGAUGAACAGCCACACUGGGAAUGAGACACGGCCCAGACUCCUACGGAGGCAGCAGUGGGGAAGAUUGCACAAUGGGCGCAAGCCUGAUGCAGCCAUGCCGCGUGUAUGAAGAAGGCCCUAGGGGUGUAAAGUACUUUCAGUCGGGAGGCGUUACCGACAGAAGAAGCACCGGCUAACUCCGUGCCAGCAGCCGCGGUAAUAC